rnacentral:rRNA from 1 species
AGAGUUUGAUCAUGGCUCAGAACGUACGCUGGCGGCACGCCUAAUACAUGCAAGUCGAACGGGGUAGCAAUACCCAGUGGCAGACGGGUGAGUAACAUGUGGGUACCUUCCCUUUGGUGAGGAAUAACACGAGGAAACUUGUGCUAAUACCUCAUAAGUCUUUACGGAGAAAGCUUUAUGCGCCAAUGGAUGGGCCCGCACUUGAUUAGUUAGUUGGUAAGGUAAUGGCUUACCAAGACUUUGAUCAAUAGCUGAUUUGAGAGGAUGAUCAGCCACAUUGGGACUGAGACACGGCCCAAACUCCUACGGGAGGCAGCAGUAGGGAAUCUUGCACAAUGGAGGAAACUCUGAUGCAGCGAUGCCGCGUGAGUGAAGAAGGCCUUUGGGUUGUAAAGCUCUUUCGUCGGGGAAGAAAAUGACUGUACCCGAAUAAGAAGGUCCGGCUAACUUCGUGCCAGCAGCCGCGGUAAUACGAAGGGACCUAGCGUAGUUCGGAAUUACUGGGCUUAAAGAGUUCGUAGGUGGUUAAAAAAGUUGGUGGUGAAAUCCCAGAGCUUAACUCUGGAACUGCCAUCAAAACUUUUUAGCUAGAGUGUGAUAGAGGAAAGCAGAAUUUCUAGUGUAGAGGUGAAAUUCGUAGAUAUUAGAAAGAAUACCAAUUGCGAAGGCAGCUUUCUGGAUCAUUACUGACACUGAGGAACGAAAGCAUGGGUAGCGAAGAGGAUUAGAUACCCUCGUAGUCCAUGCCGUAAACGAUGUGUGUUAGAUGUUGGAAAUUUAUUUUCAGUAUCGCAGCGAAAGCGUUAAACACACCGCCUGGGGAGUACGACCGCAAGGUUAAAACUCAAAUGAAUUGACGGGGACCCGCACAAGUAGUGGAGCAUGUGGUUUAAUUCGAAGAUACGCGCAGAACCUUACCAACACUUGACAUGUUUGUCGCGACUUUAAGAGAUUAAAGUCUUCGGUUCGGCCGGACAAAACACAGGUGCUGCAUGGCUGUCGUCAGCUCGUGUCGUGAGAUGUUGGGUUAAGUCCCGCAACGAGCGCAACCCUCACUUUUAGUUGCCAUCAUUUAGUUGGGCACUCUGAAAGAACUGCCAGUGAUAAGCUGGAGGAAGGUGGGGAUGACGUC